GUGCUGAGAGAUGGUUUGGAUAUGUGGUAAAAAUGAAUGAGGAUCUAUGUUUUAACUGGGUGUGACAGAAAGAAAAGUGGACAAAGAAUUGAAUGGUGAAGUGUUACUCUAUGGUUUAGACAGGUUGGAAGAAUAAAUGAGGAAAUGAGUUCUGGUACAUGUGUGACAAGGGGAGUGGACUUCAGAAGAGUUGGAAGGGUGAACAAUGGUACCAAGACAGUUUGGACCUGUGAGAGUAUGAAUUAGGGUGAGUUUGUUAGUGUAUGAAAGCAUCACAAAGAGUACUGUAUAUAUCAGGGGGAAAAUCACCAUGGAAAUGGAUUAACAGAGUAGGUGAGUACUGUAGUGAGUUUGAUGGCAAGGGAUUGAUUGUGGAGAGAGGCAGUGCAUGAACAGUUAAAGUUAGUUUCUCUUCUGCUGCAGUGAGGGGCCGACUGUAAUAUCCUGAUGAAACAGAAUAAAUUUAUGGAAAAAAUGUAGAGAACAUCAGUCAGCUGGAUAAGAUACAUCUUGGGGCCCUCAUAAGUUUUCAAGAGGGAAUUAUUUUUCUUAAUUUUGAUUAGAAAGAGAAGCUUCACACAUGAGAACCCCUUCGUAUUAUUUUCUGAUAAAUGCAUGCAGUAAAAUUCAGUUAAAAUUAUAUAAUACUGAGAAUAUCUCCAAAUCUACUCUCCAGUCAUAAUGAGUUACUAUACUUUAGUGGCAUUGGGUUACUAUACUUUAGUGGCAUUGGGUUACUAUACUUUAGUGGCAUUGGGUUACUAUCCAAAGUGGCAAUAUAUUACUAUUUUUGUGGUUUGGGUCCAUUUGAUUCACUUAAAAUUAUGCUCUACCAUCACCUCCUUCACCUUCACAUUCAGUGAGUAGAAAGGCAAAGUCGUCAUGGGCAUUUCAUUCGAUGUAAUUUCACUUAGGUAGUUUAAAGGAGACCACCUAGUAAGGACCAUAAGGCCUGUGUGACCUGAAUAACUAUGUAAAUCCAUGUAGACAUACCUUGGAAAGCGUAACAGAAAAUGCAGAGUGUUAGUACCCAGGUAUCAUGGCUGGUUUGCUCUAUAUAAAAACUGGGUGCAGUUCUAUAUAUUUACCUUGGUCACUAAUCCUACUGAACUUGUUUUCUUUAUCUCCCUAAUAACAGUCUUGUUUAUCUUUUAAGACUAGCACUCUCCCCAACCAGACCCCUAAAACACUCCAGAAGAAAAAGAAGCUGUUAGUAGGUCAUAUGUAUACUACUUGGCAUAAUUUCAGCAGAAACCGAACUUAUACCGAACAAGAGAAUUUUAUGAGUCACACCUGUUUCGCCUAUUCCUUUCUACCACAGAGAAGAAUCAUUAAAUCUACCGCGCCUUCCAGUAGCUUCGUACCCUUCUUCUUCAUCUUCUUUUGACCUGUAACGCUUUGUCGCUUCUCAAUCUCAUGAUCAGUCCUUCGAUCCUCUCGGUCCUCUCAUCUGUUUAUUCACACACUUUGCUUUUUAAUGGUAUAGUACUUAACUUUCCUCUCUGUAAUCCCCAACGAAAUACCGAAAAAAAAAAAAAAAAAAAAGUCGCACCAGAAUUUUCAGCUUCGUGCCCUUCUUCAUCCUCUUUUGACCUGUAACGCUUAUAGGUCCUCCUCCUCUCGGUCCUCUCUUCUGUUUAUUCACACACUUUGCUUUUCAAUGGUACAGUAUUACUUAACUUUCUGAAUACAUUAUCGCACUAGGAAUAUUCAGCUUGGUGCCCUUCUUCAUCAUCUUCUUUUGACCUGUAACGCUUUGUACCGCUUCUCAUGAUCAGUUCUUCCCCUCUCGGUCUCUUCUGUUUAUUCACACUCUUUGCUUUUCAAUGGUUCUGUAUUACUUAACUUUCCUCUCUAUAAUACAAAAAAAAUUCAGCUUCGUGCUUUUUUUCAUUUUUUAUUAACCUGUAACGCUUCCUUCCCCUAGCUCUCGGUCCUCUCCUGUUUAUUCACACACUUUGCUUUUCAAUGGCACAGUAUUACUUAACUUUACUCUGCAAUACACUAUCGCACUAAAAUUUUCAGCUUCCAUUAAAAUUUUCAGCUUCGUGCCCUUCUUGUUCAUCUUCUUUUGACCUGUAACGCUUAGGUCCUUCUCCUCUCGGUCCUCUCUUCUGUUUAUUCACACACUUUGCUUUUUAAUGGUACAGUAUUACUUAACUCUGUAAUACACUAUCGCAGUAUAAUUUUCAGCUUGGUGCCCCCCGCGCCCCGCCGUCACCGACUCACCGUAUCGCUGUCUGCUUGUUGACACCCAGCUGGCGUCCCUCGAGCACCCUGAGAGCAGCAGCCCCAUUACCCGCACGACCCAAGCCUAGACCUGGUUUUGUGUGUCAAGGGAAGAGGGUGUAUAUUAUGGUCUGGUCCGAGGAAACAUUUACCGGCCCUGGAGAGCGUAAAGAGAGCGGGUGGCUGAUAGUUGUGCAGACUGCAGAGGACUCGCCGCCAACCGAGAUCCGUGAUUGUGAUUGGACUUUCUAGCCGUUCCUGAGCACCCCGCGACAAGUACAGUGUCCCCUCUGAGUCUUUUAUGACACCUACACCAAGUACAGUUCAUGAGCCCCCUACACGAACGAACACCCACCAUCACUGAAGACUGAAGAAAUCCCAACUGGCAUUUGACUCCUCUGCAGAACAUCCUGCCAUCACUGAAGAACUCUAUCACUCCCCUGCAGAACAUCCUGUCAUCACUGAAGACUGAAGAACUCCUUAUCACUCCCCUGCAGAACAUCCUGCCAUCACUGAAGACUGAAGAACUUCUCAUCACUCCCCUGCAGAACACCCCACCAUCACUGAAGACCCACCCAACACUCCCCUGCAGAACAACCCUCUGUAACUGAAUAUUGAAGAACCCCCACCAGUACCCCUGAAAACAUGUCACAGCCUUUAAUCAGCCACCCACCCACUCCCCUGCAAAACACUUCACAACCUCUGAUGAGCCACCCACCUGAUUACCAGCAAAAUGCUUCACAGUCUCUAAUGAGCCACCUGCCUGAUUACCAGCAAAAUACUUCACAGUCUCUAAUGAGCCACCCACCUGAUUACCAGCAAAAUACUUCACAGUCUCUAAUGAGCCACCCACCUGAUUACCAGCAAAAUGCUUCACAGUCUCUAAUGAGCCACCCACCCACUCCCCAGGAAAACACCUCUUCAUUAAUGGGCCACCCACCUGGUCCCAUGCAGAACACUUCACAACCCCUGAUGAGCCACCCACCCACUCCCCUGCAGAACACUUCACAGUUUCUGAUGAGCUAUGCACCCACUCCCUUACAGAACACUUCAUCCUUAAUGAGCCACCCAUCCGCUCACCAACAGAACACUUCAUCUUUAAUGGGCCACCCACCAACUCACCUGCAGAACACUUCACAAUCUCUGAUGAGCCACCUACCCACUCCCCUGCAGAACACUUCAUCCUAUAUGAGCCACCCACCUGCUCCCCAGGAUAACACUUCUUCUUUAAUGGGCCACUCACCUGCUUCCCUGCAGAACACUUCAUAUUCUCUGAUGAGCCACCCACCUGCUCCCAUGCAGAACUCUUCACAGUCUCUAAUGAGUCACCCACCUGCUCCCCUGGAUAACACUUCUUCUUUAAUGGGCUACCCACCUGGUCCCAUGCAGAACAUUUCACAAUCUCUCAUGAGCCACCCACUUGCCCACCUGCAGAACAAUUCAUAUUCUCUGAUGAGCCACCCACACAUUCCUAUGUAGAACACUUUAGUCUCUGAUGAGCCACACAGCCAAUCCACUCCUCUGCAGAACACGACACAAUCUCUAAUAGGCCACCCACCCACUUCCCUGCAAAACACUUCACCACCUAACAAGCCACCCACCCACUCCCCUGUAUAACACUUCACCACCUAACAAGCCACCCACCCACUCCCCUGCAAAACACUUCACCACCUAACAAGCCACCCACCCACUCCCCUGCAGAACACUUCACCACCUAACAAGCCACCCACCCACUCCCCUGUAUAACACUUCACCACCUAACAAGCCACCCACCCACUCCCCUGUAUAACACUUCACCACCUAACAAGCCACCCACCCACUCCCCUGUAUAACACUUCACCACCUAACAAGCCACCCACCCACCCACUCCCCUGCAAAACACUUCACCAUCUAACAAGCCACCCACCCACUCCCCUGCAAAACACUUCACCACCUAACAAGCCACCCACCCACUCCCCUGCAAAACACUUCACCAUCUAACAAGCUACCCACUUACUUCCCUGCAAAACACUUCACCAUCUAACAAGCUACCCACUUACUUCCCUGCAAAAUACUUCACCAUCUAACAAGCCACCCACCUACUCCCCUGCAAAACACUUCAUAGAAAGCCACCCACCUACUUCCCUGCAAAACACUUCACCAUCUAACAAGCCACCCACCUACUCCCCUACAGAACACUUGUCUCUGAUGAACAACCCACCCACAACCUUGCAGAAGACUUCAGGAUCUCUGAUGGCCCACCUACUUACCCCCAUCUCCUAUGUCCUGAUCUCUCACAGGAACUUGCCAUAAGGUGGCCACAGAAGAAGUUUCUCCAACUUUCCCUGUUCUGGCACUCCAUCUAAGAACAUUUGAUGCCUUGCCUGUCAUCUCCCACUCCAAUAAUCCUCUUCUCUAUAAAUUAAUUUCAUUGGUGGUUGCCCCCUGAAACUCUCAUCCACAACCCUGCUCCCACAUGCCCUCUUCACCAUCAUCUUUAGUUCCACACAAUCUUGUGAGUUAGAUGAAGAUCUACCUUUGAGCAUACACCAGCAUGUAAAGUUGUGAAACGGUUAAUAGGAGAUCAGCAGGUUAUUUAAAAUAUUGCUCCGUAUUUGAUCAAGAAUAAUCUUCCACCAAUUGCAUGCCAGCAUUUAAACUGAUUAAUAAGGAACCAACAGAUUAAUUCAACUGUUGUGUAGAAUAGCCAGUAUUGGCUAUACAUGCAGAGCCACACUCAGUCACCCAGAGAACUGUCAAAUUAUAAUGCUCUUCACAGUGAACUCAGUUCAAUUUUCUAUUUCAAGAUUCCAGAAUACAAGUUACUGUUUGGAGUCAAAUGUCCUAACACAGCACCUGCUAGUCAGGAAAAAUAUAUAUUUUUCAUUGCUCGCAGGUUUUGAGGUUUGUGUCUCUUUAUUAAGCACUGAGUGCCGAAUGCACGCGGGCCCGUAUCCACCUCAUGAACAGCAAAAGGCAACAUUAUAGGUUUCGUCUCCCGAAUAUUUCACUCAUGGCUGUAUUUUGCUUUCUAGCAUCUCUAGUAUAGUUGAAUUUGAUGACAGAUGGGUAUUAUUUAUCAAGGCAUGGUUAUUUCAACUUUUGAUCCUAAAAUAAGUAUUUUACGUAAAGCACACAGUGCUGUGGUAGGCAACACCAAAAUUGCAAAAAGUUGGUAAACAAAGGGUAAAGCAUCACCAUUGUGAACUAAUAGCCAGUACAGUCCACGAGAUGACGGUAAUCUUCUAGCAAAUAUAUACAGGCAGAGCAUUGUAUAAAACUGCAUUCUUUGAUAUUUUGCUUAUAUAUUUAACUUCUUAACUUUUGAUGAUGAAAAUAACUUUAUAGAAAACUGACCUUAUUUUCCAAAUGCUAUAACAUGUAAACCCAUAUUAAUCACCCAGUGAAAAUAUAUCUUUUACAUUUGAAAUUCAUUUUAAUUAACCCAGAAUUUCAUAAUGUUACUAUAAACAACAAGGACUGAAAACAUCUAUGGCUGAUAACAACAGAAAUACAACAAUGCUAAAAGAAGCGUGCACACACACACACACACACACUGGAUGAUCCUUCAAAUGGAAAACGAUAGGUAGAAACUGGCUAUUGCAUACGAUGUGUUUAUCAAAAGAUAAUUAUAUGAUUAAUAAGGUCAACCUUGUAAAUAAAUAUGCUCAAGGCAACUACAAAAUGAAAACUAGUUGAAGAAAUAUAUUAAGAUAAAAAUUAUAUCAGCUAUAGUGUAUGCACCCACCUUUACCUACCUUAAUCUUUUGAGAAUGACUAAACAUAGAACACAUAAUUAUUAACUUGGUAUAUGAAGGGAGGUCCUGCAAACUAGAGUAUGUAGUAUAUAAGGUGUAUGAAACUUUUGAUCAAAAUUAGCAAAAGCACUGCAUCACCAAUGGCAAAUGUACCUGUAAACUUUAGUUCUUGAGAAUAUAUGGUACCCAAUGUGUGUGUAUGUGUGUGUGUGUUUAAUUAUUUGUAGUUUAAAGUAUUUCAGCAGAGCUAGUAUUGUUCACUAUGCUUCUUUCCAUCUCUGCUUUAAAUUUAUGGAUGUUCUUAGCUCUAAUUAGUUCUGUAUCUAAGCUAUUCAAAAUAUCAAUGAUACUAUUGGGGAAGCCAAUCUUCUUUACA